UACGAAGGGGGGCUAGCGUUGCUCGGAAUUACUGGGCGUAAAGCGCGCGUAGGCGGCUUUGCAAGUCGGGUGUGAAAUCCCCAGGCUUAACCUGGGAACUGCAUUCGAGACUGCAUUGCUAGAGUAUGGGAGAGGGAAGUGGAAUUUCCGGUGUAGCGGUGAAAAUGCGUAGAUAUCGGAAGGAACAUCAGUGGCGAAGGCGGCUCACUGGCCCGGUACUGACGCUGAGGUGCGAAAGCGUGGGGGAG
rnacentral:rRNA from 1 species